rnacentral:rRNA from 1 species
GCUAAGUCCGUGCCAGCAGCCGCGGUAAUACGGAAGGGGCUAGCGUUGUUCGGAAGUACUGGGCGUAAAGCGCGCGUAGGCGGCCAUGCAAGGUAGGCGUGAAAGGCCUGGGCUCAACCUGGGAACUGCGCUUCAGACUGCACGGCUUGAGUCCGGGAGAGGGUGGUGGAAUUCCCAGUGUAGAGGUGAAAUGCGUAGAUAUGCGGAGGAACACCGAUGGCGAAGGCAAUCCCCUGGGCCUGCACUGACGCUCAUGCACGAAUGCGUGGGGAGCAAACAGGAUUAGAUACCCCAGUAGUC